UUGGAAGAAGCCAUGUUUCAUCAAGAAGCCCUUGUCCAAUAGCAUGGUUUUGCUUGGGGGUGCUGAUGUGAAUAGCCAAAAGCCUCGUAACUUAACUACCAUGAGUCACUGUUGUGAAAGAGAUACUACUGAGAAUCGUUCUAUUUGUUCUUUGUGCAUCAAAUCUGGAUGUAUGUUUGGUGUUGUUACAGCAUUUCCCCUGGUUGUUGCAGCAUUUUUAAGGGGAAAAUUUUGGCUGAUCCAUGGAAUCUGUUCAAGAUAUCUUUGCUGAAAGAAAAACUGCAUGGUACAUCAUUAUGGAGCCUCUUUCCCUGCCAUGGAUCAUCAGGCACAUGGGUUCUUCCCUUAUUUGUCCAUUGCACUUCUGGGUAGAUUUGUCCUCCUAGGAGCUACUCAUCUACUCUCCAGCGUGACUUCUGGGUUCUGCAGGACAUGACAUUUAUCCCCUCCAGAAAAUGCAACAAGGUGCAUCUUGGAAGCAGAGUGCAGCACUCACCGGACAGGAAAUCUGCUGAUGCCUUCAUCUUGGACUUCCCAGUCUCCAGAACUAUAAAGAAUGCAUUUCUUUUCUUAUAAAUUACCCAGUCUAUGAUAUUCCAUUAUAGUAGCACAAACGGACUAGGACAACACAUAAAUAACUCAAGCCAAUUUCUCACUUACAUUUGUUAAAAUAGUAAUGUACAAAUCCCGGAAACAGUCAACAACAAAAUCCCAUUUCACAACUCCCUCAUCCCUAAUACACAAUUUCUAACCUAUUCUGAAAUUGAGAAGUCUUAUACUUUGCAAAUGGCAUGGCAACUUUAUGUCCAUUUAAAAUUGUCUAAAUAUUUAGUACAUUUCUAGAGUCUAGAGCACACAGCUCAGGGCCCUGGUAACAUGCAGGCAAUCAGACUAUAAAUUUAUUUCUCUUCUUGAACAUCCUGCCCUGUUCAUCUUCAGUAAUCAAAUGGGCUUCAAUUUGUUCUUUACUAUGCUUUCACCUCUUCAUGCUCACUUCCAAGUCAACUCUACUCCUUCUCUAUUUUGCCCAAUACACUUUCUAGUUACAUAAUCAGAUGACUCUAGAAAAGCUGCCCAAGGCUGACCAUUCUCUAUGUGAAUUUUCCAACUACAUUGAAAGACCAAACUCAGUAUCCCCAACAUUGUCCUAACUUAAAGGUAUACUUGUAGUGGCACCAUAUAAACCAGGCAAACUAUUUAAAAAUGUAUCUGGAAGUAUUUGGCAUUUCCUGGUUAUAAUUUAAAGGAUGUAAUUUUGGCAUAGGAUUUCUGAAUAAUUGUUAUUAGACAGAGUUAUUUGUAUUUUCCACUACCAUUUUUAGAAAGGGAAUUUCACUUUGGAUAGCGGGUUAGUGUGUGUGUGUGUAUGUGCCCAUGUGCAGGUGAGGAGGGAACAAACUACUUGAUUCUUCCAUAAGUUAUUAAGUGACCCUUUUUUGGGCCUGAUUGUCAAAUGAAAUUUUCUGCACAAUACUUGGAAAGCAUUUGCAGGUUUCUGCGUGAGGUGAAGAAAAAAGAACAUGAAAAUAUUGUGGAUUCAUGAGCUACAAGAAGAAUCAUGAAACUUUUGAAAAGUUAUCAGCCUCAUAGCUUGAGUGUGAAUGAAUUAGUUUUCACAGAAAUCAAUGAAUGGGCUGGAUUUUACAGCCAAGACAUAAUGGAGACAAAAAAGAGCAGGCAGUGAUUUACAGAAAUUUUGAAUCCUUCUUCUGGAGUGCUAUACAUUCAUAAGAUUAUGAUUUGGAUUAAGUUUAAUCUGAUACCUAAAUGUCCAAGCGCAUAGUUUACAUUUGAUUUAUACAGUAGUACAGUAAUGUUAACAAAACUGAAUUUUUGUAACAAAUUAUAUAUACUUGAGAUAGAGAAAAAACUGUUGACUCCUUUUAUCAUUAAGUUAAAAAAAUAAUAUGGCAGCAUAUCACUUGUAUGAACUUCUGAAUGAAGACAAUAUCUUGAUGUACAAAUUCUGUUUUUCAACCAAAGGAUCAUACUUAAGCAUAUUUAAAUAUGAUGCUCAGUAAAAAGAUCUUACAACAUUAUAAUUUGUAAUGUUUGAAAUGGACAUGAAAGUAGAAUGCAACAUUUGUAUCUACAUGAGUAACUAUCAUUUAUCUAUCUAAAAUUUAUUAAACAUUUGCGAAUGAGAGCAUGACAUUGGAGUCACACUGCUUUGGGUUUGAAAUCUGGAUCCCAUAUGUGUCAGGUAAAAACCUUGAAAAAGUUACUUAACCUGUCUGUUUAUCAGUUUCUUUAUAAGACACAGAUCAUAAUAAUAUGUACAUCAGAGGAUCAUGGUGAUUAUAAAAUAAAUUAACAUAAAUGAGUUAAUAAGGCCUAGGAUUUUAGAAGUGUAGUAUAAACAAAGUACCUAGUAUGCUACUUACAGUGAUUAUCAUUAUCUCUUAUAACUUUAAGUUAAAUUGGCCUUCUUGGUAAAUUUCAAACACAAUUAUAUCUGGGUCCACAUCAGGAAAUUUGAACAUACAGUUCAUCUGUUUGGAGCUCACUUCCCUCAUUUGUUUUCAUAGCUUCCUACCUCAGUGCAUUCAGGUUUCUUUUUCAAAACAUAUAAACAGAGAUGCCUUGUUAAACUACCCAAUCUAAAAUUGUCUUUUUUUAUUUAUUAUUUUUCUUCAUCUAUGUCACCAUUUGCUAUUGUUACUAAAUUUAUUUCUAGUUUACCGCCCACUAACAUAGAAGUUCCAUGAAAAGAGAGACGUGCCUAGUUGCCCCCAUUAUCUCAGUGUAAACAUUUUUUUUCCCUGAAACUGAAACAAUAAUCUUCCUUUUGUGGAGAUGCUGUUAAAGGGUACAUAGGGUAAUUCAUACUAAUAGGUUCUCUCAUUCUUGCAAACUGUUGUGGAAUAAUCAAUUUAAGGGCAACAACUGAGCUCUUCAUAAAUUGAGGAAAAUUGCCAUGCAUGAAGGUGUUUUUCCUAACCCCCACCUCUGAUUCUACAUAUUCUUUAAACAUAUCUCUCAAAAAUUUGGAGUUAACAUUGUAAAUAAUAUUUAUGUAUUUCUUUGGGUUUUGAAAUUUACUUAUGGAUCAUGUAGACCACUUAAAAAUAUUUUUAAAAAUCUUUAAAGCUAAAGUUGAACAUUUGUGACAACUAGGAAUAUUUGGAUACUUUGUGUUUCUCUCCCUCUUUUUAUGUCUCUCUAUCUCUCUCUGAUAAAAGUAUGUUUGUGGAUAAUUUAUUUUAAAACUAGACUUUUGGUUAUGCCAGAUUAAUAGUUCCAGAGAUCUCUUAUAAAGCACAUUUCUUGUAGUUAACAAUAUGGUGUUGUGCACUUCAAAAUUUGUUAAAUAAUAGAUUUCAUGUUAAGUAUUCUAAAAACACACACACAUACACACUCGGACACAAGGCAACUUUGGUUGAUAUUGAACACAUCCAUUACCUUGAUUGUGGUGAUGAUGGUAUUACGGGUGUUUGCAUAUGUCCAAACUCAUUAAAUUGUACACAUUGAACAUGUGAAGUUCUUUGCAUAUCAACUAUAUCUCAAUAAAGCUGUUAAAAUUAAAGCAAA
rnacentral:lncRNA from 10 species